rnacentral:rRNA from 1 species
UACGUAGGAGGCGAGCGUUGUCCGGAAUCACUGGGCGUAAAGCGCGUGUAGGCGGGAAGGCAAGUCUGCUGUGAAAGCGCCUGGCUUAACCGGGCGAGGUCGGCGGAAACUGCUUACCUGGAGGACGGUAGGAGGGGGGUGGAAUUCCCGGGUGUAGUGGUGAAAUGCGUAGAUAUCUGGAGGAACACCGGUGGCGAAGGCGGCAUCCUGGACCGGCAUUGACGCUGAGGCGCGAAAGCUAGGGGAGCAAACGGG